AGCAGGAACAACUAAACAGAACAGAACCAGACUGGAAAAGACAUGACAAUAAAACAGAAAAUGGCACUAGAAAUGGCAAUGAGUCCAGAGUAGUGACAUUGUGAUUCAGUAAAGCGUAAAAACAAAAAAACAAUUUGAACUUUCAGAUUUCAAACUAAAAAAAUUAAAUAAAAGGUACAAGGACCCUCUUCAAGCAAAAUCCACUCAAAAUCCACUUUUUAGACAUUUUGGAACGUUCCUAUGACUCUAUGGGUCACAUAUACACACACUGAGCACGGUAGAAAUGCAUUUCCUGCUUUUUUCACAUUUUGAAAACGUAAAUUUUCUCACCCAAUGAAAACAGACCACGACCUACUCUGAGGCCGUGUCCCAGUUGUCGUCACCUUGGUCGGAAGUUCUCCCUGCAAAUCCUGAACCACCACCCCCACAAUGAUCCCGAACCAAAACUGGACUUCCGCCAUUUCCCCCCUCUCACUCACCGUGAACAGACCAGCACGGCAGCGCCCAAGUCCUCCCAUAGAAAUAGUUCGGUUCUUGGGUGUUCUAACCAACACCAAAGUCUAUACACUUUAACAAGGGAUCAACAAGUGAGGAUUUGUGGGUCACUUUUAUUUUUAACGGACCGGUGCCAGAAACACUGCCUCAGCAUUUAUACUUAUGUGCAUUUCAAACGAGGGUGCGUACAAUGCUGGAUUUGUUUCACGGCUCCUGUUGGAAAAAAAGGAUCUAUUUCUAAAGUCCGUCAUCCACUCACUGAAGUAAGUACAUGCUUGAUAUUUAUAAUGUUUUAAAAUGUUAGUUUGUCCGUUUAAAUGUAGUAACCUAUGUGUGGGGCAAGUUACUAGCUAGCUAUGCUAACGGCUACAGCCAGUCGACCGAGCCUUUGUCCCCUUCAAAUGUGCUCAUGUUGGCUCCUGCAGCCACACCUGUGUGGAGAAAAGCUAAUGUUUAUCGUAUCGGCAUCGAGCGACCACAGCCAGGGAGUGGUGGGUCUAGCUCGCUGUAGUAAGUACGUGCUUGAUACUUACUAUGUUUGUUGGUCUGUUUAAAAUGUAGUAACCCACAUGUGAGACAAGCUAAUGCUAUCGGCAUCGAGCGGCUACAGGCAGGGAGCGGUGGGUCUAGCCUCUGUCCUUUUUCUGUAAUCGCAUACACCUGCGGGGAACAGCUGAUCGUUAUCGCCCUUCCAGCGGCGACAAGCAGGAAGCGGUGGAUCUAGCUCGCUGUAGUAAGUUUGUGCUUGAUACUUGUGAUAUUUUUGUCCUGUUGACGUGCUGCCGCUCCUGUUUGUGUUGCGUUAGCCGUUAGCAUGCCUUUAGGCCUUUGCACUUUAGAGCUACAGCUGGUCGAUCGCUACAAAAAGAACCUGCAGAUGAACGCGGUUAUGUUUGUUAUUACCCCGUCCUGUGUCACAGCCUAAAUCAACUUGUGAUUUGGGGUUAUGUCAUUGUUCUAUCAAAUUCUAACAUGAUUAGUUGGAAUGAUUACUGUGUUGUGUUGCAAGCUUAGUUGCUAAUUAGUCACAUCUCUACAAUAACUGCUGCUUAUCUGGUCAGUAACCUAUAGCUUGUACCAUAGCCAUUAUAUUUGUAGGACCAAUACAAUUUACAGUAAAUGUAACAGUCUUUUCUAUACUGUAGGAGGGCAAAUCCCAGUUACCUACAUGCAAGGAGGCUGUCAAACAGAGAAAUCACUGCAGACUGUUGGUACACAGGCAUCUGCUGCCCAGCUCAGGAGUGAAGUACCUUUUUGUUUUGAUGAGGUGUUGGUGAGGACAGCCACAGCUUCCAUCUGGUAGAGGACUGCUUCCGCUCAGUCUUCCAAAUAGUGAUGAGAACAAGGAUCACCACAUCUCCCUGUUUACCCUACUUUCAUGCAUUUCGUCUGCAGGGCCCUGCAAAAGCUUCUGACCUCAAACCCCCAGACUUCUUAAUUAACUCAGUAACCUAUACAUUGCACAUUGGAGUGUGAAGGUAACAGUUUAUUCUAGCUUUGGAGUAGUGGUGCAUUUUUUUGGUUUACAAUAAAGUUGGCUUUAACUAUUA